AUUGAACGCUGGCGGCAUGCCUUACACAUGCAAGUCGAACGGCAGCACGGGAGCAAUCCUGGUGGCGAGUGGCGAACGGGUGAGUAAUAUAUCGGAACGUGCCCAGUCGUGGGGGAUAACGUAGCGAAAGCUACGCUAAUACCGCAUACGAUCUAUGGAUGAAAGCGGGGGAGUCGCAAGACCUCGCGCGAUUGGAGCGGCCGAUAUCAGAUUAGGUUGUUGGUGGGGUAAAAGCUCACCAAGCCUGCGAUCUGUAGCUGGUCUGAGAGGACGACCAGCCACACUGGAACUGAGACACGGUCCAGACUCCUACGGGAGGCAGCAGUGGGGGAAUUUUGGACAAUGGGCGCAAGCCUGAUCCAGCAAUGCCGCGUGCGGGAUGAAGGCCUUC
rnacentral:rRNA from 1 species